ensembl:rRNA 5S_rRNA 5S ribosomal RNA
UUCAGCAGCCAUAUCACCCUGCAACUCACAACUGGCAACCCACUGAAGCUAAGCAGGUGUGAGCCUGGUCAGUACCUGGAUAUGAGACCUCCUGGGAAAAACUAAGGUUGCUGCUGAAA